rnacentral:ribozyme from 13 species
GAGAUAUAUAGUUGAUGCAUUUUUUUUUUUUUUUUUCGUUUUUCCUUCGCUCUCAGCACACAAAAAGAAAGC